rnacentral:rRNA from 1 species
AACGAACGCUGGCGGCAUGCCUAACACAUGCAAGUCGAACGCCCUCUUUUAGAGGGAGUGGCGCACGGGUGCGUAACGCGUGGGAACCUGCCCUUAGGUUCGGAAUAACUCAGAGAAAUUUGAGCUAAUACCGGAUAAUGUCUUCGGACCAAAGAUUUAUCGCCUUUGGAUGGGCCCGCGUAGGAUUAGAUAGUUGGUGGGGUAAUGGCCUACCAAGUCGACGAUCCUUAGCUGGUCUGAGAGGAUGAUCAGCCACACUGGGACUGAGACACGGCCCAGACUCCUACGGGAGGCAGCAGUGGGGAAUAUUGGACAAUGGGCGAAAGCCUGAUCCAGCAAUGCCGCGUGAGUGAUGAAGGCCUUAGGGUUGUAAAGCUCUUUUACCAGGGAUGAUAAUGACAGUACCUGGAGAAUAAGCUCCGGCUAACUCCGUGCCAGCGCCGCGGUAA